rnacentral:lncRNA from 1 species
UUUUUUGCUUUUUAGGGCUACACCCAAAAGAAGUUCCCAGGCUAGGGGUCAAAUCAAAGCUGUAACUGCUAUCCUACACCACAGCCACAGCAACAUGGGAUCCGAGCUGCUGUCUGUGACCUACACCACAGCUCAUGGCAACACUGGACCCUUAAUUUACUGAGCAAGGCCAGGGAUAGAACUCAAGUCCUCAUGGAUACUGAUCGAGUUCAUUACUGCUGAGCCACAAUGGGAACUCCCUGGAGUAAUUUCUUACAUAGCAAUAAGUAGUUAAUACAUUGUCUGUCUAUGAACUGCAGCUGCUUUGAGUCAUAAGCACCUUUUCCACGUACCCAAGAAAUCCAAGAUUUCAAUCAUCUUAGCUGGUAAUCACAUUCUACUGGGAACAGCCUGGUUAACUUGGCUGCAACUCACACUAGACUAUAAUCACCUAGAGGGCAGGAACUAUAUCUGUCUUGUCCCCUGUUGCAUCUUCAAUCCCAAUAAAAUGACUAUUGACAAUACUGGCUGAACAAAUGAAAGAGCAGGUAGGUGAGUGGAUAGGUGGAUGGAUGAACAAAUGAAGCCACAGAGGUUAACUGACACCAUGUACUUUGUGAAAUGUUUCUUAGGAGACCUUGUACAAAAAUAACAAAACUGCCUUUUUAUUUCACUGUUUCCUUCCUCAAAUUCCAAUAAAUCUCAGUUCAGUGAACCACUUUAAGUCACAAGUUCAAUUCAAUGGACCGUGAAGAAUAAAAACUGUGAAACAGUGAAAAUGAAGGAAGCCUAAAGUCAAAAGUAGUGUGAUCUACAGAAGGCACCUCUCUUGUCUUUUCAAGGGUGUUGUAUACCAAACCCUUACUUAUCCCCAAUUCAGGAAAUAUUCACAUCACUCUAUACAGUUGUUUAGGCAAACGAUCCUGGUUCAUGCAGGGACAUCUCACUUAUAUUGUGUAUCUUUCUACCAGCUUACAUUAUUAACAGCGCUGAAUAUUGAAUUGUCUUAAAUGUGUUAGGGGAGCUCAUUAUUGAAAGGAAGCCCACGAUGUAUCCUCUAACACAACAAAUAAUUUUGUUACAUGGUCCAUAAAUCUAGGUUUCCACACUUGUAACUUUUGCUGCUUUAUAAGUCCAGAUACUCAUUUAUCAAGUUUCAUUAGCCAGUAAAAUCUGUGAUCCCUCAGUACAGAGAAGUUGAAAGGACAACUAGGAGGCAUGCCAAAUCUAUCCUUUAACUCCUCCUGCUGGAAUCGCUGCAAAGUCAGACCCACUUGAGAACCAGCUCUGCCCCAGCAAAUAAAAAAAAAAAGGUGGUCUAGCUGCCAGGACUGCCCUGCCUGCAUACAUACCUCAUCUCCUCUUCUGUGGAGUUACUGCAGAGAACUUCAGUUCCAGGAAAGUCCCAUUUUCUUACCUCUGCACCAUGUCUCCACUGCUAAUCAUCUGUUCAAACCCCAGUUUCCUGCUAUUCUAAACCCCCAAAUUUCCACCCCGACCUUUCUUAGAUGGAUAAUUGGGAUGUAGUUUCUGCCUUUAGCUAAUGGUGCUUGCAUCUAACUGUUCUGUGAACUGGUGGCAGUGAAGGAUAGCCUAUUUUUCUCAAAUUUUAAUGUUCAUACAGAUGCAGAUUCAGAUUCAGCAAGUCUGGGAAGGGUCUUAAAAGCCUGCAUUUCCAUUAAGCUACUAAAGUAUACCAGUGUCACUGAUACUUUAAGUACCAAGGGUAUAGUAAAAGAACAAUACCCUAGACAGAGCACCUGGGUUUUUGAACAAGUUAGUUCCACUAGCUGUUUAACCUUAGGCACCUUAGUUAGCCUCUGUUUUAAAAGCAGAGAUGAUAAUUCCUUUGCUAUCUUAAUUAACUGCUUGAGUUUGAAACCUAGAUCUCCCAUUAGCUCUGUAACUCUGGCCAGGUAACAAACUCCUCAGUAGAUAAAAGCAAUACCUACUUCACAAGGCUCUUGGGAGGGUUAAGGGAGUUAAUACAGAUAAAAUCUUAAGAGCAGUGCCUGAAAGAGAACAACCCAUAAUUGUUAUUAUCCCUGCAUGCCUGUCUUUCAGAUACCUCAGCUCAAUAUGACUCCCCUUGUUCUGAAAAGGGGCUUCAUCUCACCCGAUAAUAUCUACCUGGUCCACCUGGCUGCUACCCACACCAUGGUUCUGAUGCUGGGCCACAUAUUACAUCCAUUACAAAUCCCUUUGUCCCAAUAGUCCACCACUUUUUCAUCUCAAAUUCUGCCCUUAGUCUUAUAUACAUUCAUUUCAUUAGUCAUGCAUAAACACAUCCUGCUAUAAUAGAAGAUUCUAGUUCCUCAGCUGACAUCACUCAUAGGAAUACUACAGAAAUACACACACACAAGACAAGGAAAUCUAGACAAGGGAGAUUUUCUUCACAUGGGGCUCAAGACUAUUCCCUCAGAUUAUAUUCCAGAAAUUCCAGAAAGACUCAUGUCUUUUUGCCAAUUAGCAUUAAAGAGUAGCUGAUGGUCAUAUAAGCUAGGUCCCUGCCACGUCUUCCAACAUCUUCCAAGCAAAGAAUCAUCUGAUUGCAGUCCUACAAGUCCAACUAUUACCACCUAAAGUAUUUCUUGGGUGCAGAAGAACCAUAUAAUGGCAAAAGUAGCAGAUCAAGAACCGAAUGAUGGGGAGUUGCUGCCAUGGUGCAGUGGGUUGAGAAUCACAGUGGGUUAAGAGGCACAGGUUUGAUUAAAAAGAACCAUACGAUAGAUUGCAGGGUGGUAAUGAGACUUCAACUGAGGCUAGAUACUAUCAGUCUAUAAUGGCACCAGCUCAUAUUGUUAUAAGAGAAAGGAUGCAGAGAAAUGCUCAUUAAAGCAGUUUACAGAUGAAGUUUGCAAGCUCUUUAAUAUGGUCACUGUGUGGCAGAACAAUUUCAGUGUAGCUGGUCUAGCCCCUGAUAGAAACAACUAGUUUAGGGAAAGAAAUUGUACAAGCAGGGUCUAUUAUAAUUUUAGCUAUUUCUGCAAGCUCUAUUCUUCCAUUUCCCCUUCUCUGUCAUCUGAAUGGCCUUACCUUCACUUUAAAUUACAAAAUAGAAGCCACCUCAACUUCUGGUCACCCAAACUAGUCUAAGUCACCUCAACUUCUAUCCCCAAAACUAGCCUAACCUGUGUCUGCCCUCAAAUUUUUCUCCUUCCUGGUAUUAUUAUGAAAAUGAUGUCACUACUCUUUUUACUCCUUCCUCCUGGGCUCUGGAUUCCAUUCCCUUCUGCCUUCUCAGGGUCCUUACUGCCUUCAUCAACCUGCUCAUUCCUGGUUAUUCAAAAUCUCUCUCACAUCUUUAAAAAAUUCUCCAAGGUAUGAACAGAAUUGAAACACAGCUGACUAGAAGGGACCUGGACUAUAUCCAGCAUGCCAAGAAAGAUGCAGAGGCUCCCUUAUGUCUAGAAAGGUAAGCAGAGACAUCAAUUAGAAUAGAUGGUACAGAAUACUCCAUCAUGGCAAAAUCCUUAAAUUCCAGGUCAGAGUAUUCAAUCAGACUUAGCACACAGGACUAGUGAAUGAUAGGGUUGCACUGGCCCUGUGCCCUUUUUAUAAUAUCUGCUGGAGGGGUGGUGGCUCUAAGUCCACAGGUUUUAAUCACAUUCUGAAGAGAUCAAAGAACAGUACUUCCAGAUAGAGGAGGAGAGGCAAAAUGUUCAUCAAUUUCUUAUUGACAUAUUCUGAGGAUCAAAGAGAAGGCUUGCAAGAAUCACAGGUCCUGGCAAGUGUGUGUGCAUGUAUGCCUUUGAUGUGAAUGGUUUAGCCACAUAGGGUUUAUAUAAUCCUAAAGAGUAGUGUUAUCCUUUCCACAGAGCUCCAUAUGAGGUUCCUCCCAAUUGCAAAUACAUUUAAUAUCCCCACUAGGGCAAGAACAGUUGGGGAUAUAAAAAAUAAAAGACAAUUUUAGUUUUGGCAAGAUUGGCUGGAGAGUUCUUUCAGAGUCAUUAUGAGCCAUUACUGCCUGUAUUACAGAAACAAUCCACAGAAGCCAAGCUUUGGCCACUUAAUUAGGACAUAUGGAGGCUGAUCUAAUGGUAAGAGAGCUGUGCUAUCAAGGCAGAGCUAAAUCAGAAGAAAAAAGUACACAAAUUUCAAUCCUAAAAACUAUAUGGUUAAAUGUUCUAUGGCCUAGUUAACUACUUUUUCCAAAAAUGAAAGUUCCACAGUAAAAGGGCAACCUGGAUUCAUUCCUGCCACAAGGUUCUUCUCAAAACCAAGGUGGAUUCUCUGAAUAGAGGGAAUUUAAAUAUAUGAUUAAAGAAUAGCUCACACAUCUGUAUGCUUUAUUCUAGCCAAGUUAUCACCAAGUGUCAGUCCCUUUCUGCAAAUUCUCCUCAAUUAAGGUGACCUAGUAUGCAGCAAACCCCUGAGUAAUGACCAGUAUUUGCUAAGUAGUUAUAGAAUGAGGAUUAUUUACCUAUGUACCUAAUGUUCUAUGUGCAUUUUAAGUCCUUCUACAGACAGCCUAAAUGCAAACCCACUGCCCCCUCAAAUGGGACUUUGAAAAAUAAACCUGAUGUGCAUAGAAGGAGAGAGAAGUUCCAAGUAGGAAUCACGGAAUGAGGAAAGGCACAAGUAGAGUAAUGAGAUAUUUUAAAAAUGUCUAGAUUCUUUUCCCAUAUAGGUUAUUACAGAGGAUUGAGUAGAGUUCCCUGUGCUAUACAGUAGAUCCUUGUUGAUCAUCUAUUUUUUAAUAUAGUAGUUAUGAAAAUAAAAAAGCAUCUAGGCAACCUUGUCAAUUUUCAAAUGGUUCAGUUGUUUCCUAUCACAUACACAAUAGCAGAGACACAUUCGUACUCAACAUUGGAUGAUGAUGAAAGAGAAAUGGAAAACUAUGUUCAUAUGCUAUUUCCAAAAAUUUUAAAUUAUAUAUACAGAUGCAUAAGCUCCCACAUAUUUCUUCAAAGGAUUCAAAAGGGUCGGUAAAACUCUGCCUCUACUUAAUACAAUCCUCCUAUGGCAUUUUGUUUAAAACUCUAUUUUAUCUCUAACUGAACGUUAUUGUAAUUUGUCUGCGUGUAUCUUGCCUAUAGCAAAAGAUAGUGCCUAUCUCAAGAUAUGGACUAUAUCUUAUUCAUCUCUUUUUCUUUAGUGCCUAGACAUUUCUUGCUGAAUGAAUGAGUAAAUUAAUGUCUUUUAUCCCAUCUUUAUAAAGAGGAAACUGAAGGACCAUUUGAGAGACUUCCCCUAAGGCAAGGAAUUAAGAUAAUAUUAAUAGAUCUUUAGCAUAGUAACGUUCUAAUUAAUAAUACACAAUUAAGAGAAUAAGAUUCCACUGUUAAUUUGUGGAAUGGCCCUGGCCCAGCUGCUUUGCCUAACCAGGCAUUGGUUUCCUUUUCUGUAAAAUAGGGCCAUCUGGUACUUGAGAAGACCUAGCUAUGUUCUGUCUGGAUGAAUGUUUCUGGUUUCUCAAUGUUUUAUUACCAUUCAGACAUAGGUGACACACAGUGA